rnacentral:rRNA from 1 species
CAGCAGCCACGGUAAAACGUAGGUGGCACGCGUUGUCCGGAAUUAUUGGGCGUAAAGGGCUCGCAGGCGGUUUCUUAAGUCUGAUGUGAAAGCCCCCGGCUCAACCGGGGAGGGUCAUUGGAAACUGGGAAACUUGAGUGCAGAAGAGGAGAGUGGAACUCCACGUGUAGCGGUGAAAUGCGUAGAGAUGUGGAGGAACACCAGUGGCGAAGGCGACUCCCUGGUCUGUAACUGACGCUGAGGAGCGAAAGCGUGGGGAGCGAACAGGAUUAGAUACCCCGGUAGUCCCUGUCUCUUAUAC